GAUGAACGCUGGCGGCGUGCUUAACACAUGCAAGUCGAACGAAGCGUAUUCAAGUGAAGUUUUCGGACAAAGCGAGGAUAUGACUUAGUGGCGGACGGGUGAGUAACGCGUGGGCAACCUGCCUUUCACAGCGGGAUAACAGAGGGAAGCUUCUGCUAAUACCGCAUAUACCUUUAUAACGCAUGUUAGGGAGGGGAAAGAGUUAUCGGUGAGAGAUGGGCCCGCGUCCGAUUAGAUAGUUGGUGGGGUAACAGCCUACCAAGUCAACGAUCGGUAGCCGGCUUGAGAGAGUGAACGGCCACAUUGGGGCUGAGACACGGCCCAAACUCCUACGGGAGGCAGCAGUGGGGGAUAUUGGACAAUGGGGGCAACCCUGAUCCAGCGACGCCGCGUGAGUGAAGAAGUAUUUCGGUACGUAAAGCUCUAUCAGCAGGGAAGAAAGAAGACGGUACCUGACUAAGAAGCCCCGGCUAACUACGUGCCAGCAGCCGCGGUAAUACGUAGGGGGCAAGCGUUAUCCGGAAUUACUGGGUGUAAAGGGAGCGUAGACGGUUAAACAAGUCUGAAGUGAAAUGCCGGGGCUCAACCUCGGAGCUGCUUUGGAAACUGUAGAACUGGAGUGUCGGAGGGGUAAGCGGAAUUCCCAGUGUAGCGGUGAAAUGCGUAGAUAUUGGGAGGAACACCGGCGGCGAAGGCGGCUUACUGGACGACAACUGACGUUGAGGCUCGAAGGCGUGGGUAGCAAACAGG
rnacentral:rRNA from 1 species